CAAAGCAGACGUCACCCACACCGGGGUUUUAUAUUAAAGUCCGAUUAUAUAAUAAAAUGAGCAGUAGAACACCUAGGUAAUAUACACCGAUCAGCCAUAACAUUAAACCCACUGACAGGUGAAGUGAGUAACAUUGAUUGUCUUGUUACAAUGGAACCUGUAAAGGGGUAGGAAGUUGAUGUGUUGGAAGAAGGAAAAAUGGGCAAGCGUAAGGAUCUGAGCGACUUUCGCAAGGGGAAAGGUUGUGAUGGUUAGACGACUGGGUCAGAGCACGACCAAAAGGCAGGUCUCGCGCGGCGUUCCCGAUAUGCAGUGGUCCAAGGAAGUGAUCCGAGGAAGGACAAGCAGUGAACCGCGCCCAUGCUGACCCCUGUCCACCACCUGCAAUGAGCAGAGCAGCAUCAGAACUGUAAAUAAAUAAAUAAAUAAAUAAAUAAAUAAAAAGCUCUCAGGGGGUUUUAAGUAAGUUAUUGAGUUCCUAGCACAGGUUUAGCCGAUGUACAUGUGACCUAUUAACGAUCAAGUGACAACAAGCGGCUAGUAUUAAGGAAGAAUUAAAAUGAGGUGUACGUAAUACGUACGGAGUUUUUAAUGUGACGAGCGUAUGUACAUUUGUGCAUAGAAGAAAGGGCAUUAGAUAUCUGGCCUGAUACUGAUCAGUAUAAAUGGCCCGUCGGGGCUUUAAAAGGAAGGCAACAGCAAAGUUACAUUAAUUCAUUUGGCAGAGGCUUUUAUCCAAGGUGACUUUUACAAGUGAGCCAGAAUCCAAUCCAAGCCCAAAAGUGGCCCUCUGGCAGACGUGGGAUUUAAAUUCACAGCCUUCCUGAGACAAGGACAGGAUCUCAAUAGCGGAACUGCUACCGCUUCCAUGACAGAUAAACUGUAGGCCAGAGACACGGAGACACCUGUGACAAAAACAACACCGGCUUGUCAUCUUAAUGGCACAACUGAGUUUAUAUAUAUAUUUUAUUAUUACUUUAGCUUUUGCAUAAUUAGAAUUUAUGUUCCAUCAGUUUGUCAGUUUUUCAGAACCCAAAUAUUUAUGUUCUAUUUUUUUUUAAAUAAAUAGUUAAAAAGCAAAUGUAGAAAUUUCCCACAUCAGACAAUGUAGACUGUUUUAUUUUGAUGUGUUAUUAACCCAAGUAAACAGGCUAACCCUCAAACUAGCAUUACUGUAAACAGGCUAACCCUCAAACUAGCGUAACAGUAAACAGGC
ensembl:lncRNA